GUUAAAAGGCCUUUAUCUGCUGUGGUAACAUGUUUCUUUCCAUGAUGGUGGGUGAUUAGGAAAGAAGGAAAGUGUGUGUGUGUGUGUGUGUGUGUGUGUGUGUGUGUGUGUGUGUGUGUGUGUGUGUGUGUGUGUGUGUGUGUGUGUGU